rnacentral:misc_RNA from 1 species
UCCCGCCCUGCUCCGCGCC